CCCCCAGUGUUUCUCGCGCCCGCCUGCGCCUUGUUCUGAAGCUAAGCUAGCUAGAAUCACCUCGAGACGGACAGUGCAUUUUUGUGGAGUAGUGACAAGAAAAUGGCGGAGUGAGUGGGUUGCGCUUUGAAGGAAAGCAGCGACCCUAGGUUUCCGUAAAAUAUAAUACGAACAAAGGAGAGUCACAUAAAAGCUGUAACUUUCAUCGAAAAUUUGACAAACAAGAACAAUAUUGCCCCUCUCGCGGAGGUGGUACAAACAGAUUAUCGAACCAGGCUUCGCAGUACCACUGGUGUCAUUUCGAUAGCUCGACGCUAGCAGGCUAGCGACGAGGCACUGGGCGACGGACUAACACGGCACAUUAGAAGUGUUUUCAGAAUAAUUGUUUGGCCUUUUUCGUGAUAAGUGUUGGGUUUAUUUUGUAUGUUUUUUACUAGCUAGCUUGUGAAUAUCGCAUGAGAAUAAACAAAGUCUGUCCUAGUUCGCUAACAUUACAUUGUUUCAAGUACAUAGCCUACGACCAACCAGGAUUGUAUGUUCACGAUAUGUUCUGAUAACGAGCUGGCCGAGUAGGGGAACCGACGGAGCAGUCCCAGAAAAUACUAUUUUAAACUGAUUGGGGUUGCUCGUGAUUUUGAGGAUAUGGCAAGCAGCAGCGGCUCAAAAGCCGAAUUCAUUGUUGGUGGAAAAUACAAACUUGUCAGAAAAAUUGGAUCUGGAUCAUUUGGUGACAUAUACCUGGCGAUCAACAUCACAAAUGGAGAGGAGGUAGCUGUAAAAUUGGAAUCUCAGAAAGCCAGACACCCACAGUUGUUAUAUGAAAGCAAACUGUACAAAAUAUUACAAGGAGGAGUUGGAAUCCCACACAUAAGGUGGUAUGGCCAAGAAAAGGACUACAAUGUCCUAGUGAUGGACCUGCUGGGACCUAGUCUGGAAGACCUCUUCAACUUCUGCUCGCGCAGGUUCACAAUGAAAACUGUACUAAUGCUCGCAGACCAGAUGAUCAGCAGAAUCGAGUAUGUGCACACAAAGAACUUCAUUCACAGAGAUAUCAAGCCAGACAACUUUUUAAUGGGUAUUGGCCGUCACUGUAACAAGUGUUUGGAAUCUCCAGUGGGGAAGAGGAAAAGAAGCUUGGCUGUUAGUUCUUCUCAGGACCCAUCUUUCUCAGGAUUAAACCAGUUGUUCCUCAUCGACUUUGGUCUGGCCAAAAAAUACCGGGACAACAGGACACGACAGCACAUACCUUACCGAGAAGACAAGAAUCUCACUGGCACAGCACGCUAUGCCAGCAUCAACGCGCACCUGGGCAUCGAGCAGAGUCGCCGAGAUGACAUGGAGUCGCUAGGCUACGUCCUGAUGUACUUCAACAGAACCAGCCUGCCCUGGCAGGGUCUAAAGGUAGGCCAGGCUGCCACAAAGAAACAGAAGUACGAGAAGAUUAGCGAGAAGAAGAUGUCCACUCCAGUCGAGGUUUUGUGUAAGGGUUUCCCAGCAGAGUUCGCCAUGUACCUGAACUACUGCCGUGGGCUGCGGUUCGAGGAGGCACCUGACUACAUGUACCUGCGUCAGCUGUUCCGCAUUCUCUUCAGGACUUUGAACCACCAGUAUGACUACACGUUUGACUGGACGAUGCUGAAGCAGAAAGCAGCCCAGCAGGCUGCGUCCUCAGGGGGACAGGGGCAACCGGCACAAACUCCCUCAGUCUAUCCCCUCCCUCUCGUAGAGGGUAUCCCGGGUGCCCAGGGUUGAUGGCAGAGGAGUCAACCCAAUUUUUCAAUAAACCUGAAGCAGUUUUCAUCAGGUUUCUGAGCAGUAAGACAAUGAAAGGAAGCAGAGCAGAGUGGCCGUAGCAGGAUUUGCCUUCCAAUCACACCCCGGCAUCUAGGAUCAAAUUCACCAGAACCUGCCAGGCAUUGUGGGCAACCCUUUUUUCCUGUUAAAGAACUUUCCUUCCAUAUACUAUAUAUGUAAUCGCUCUAUAUAGAUAACAUGCUCUGCAUAUAUCUAUAUAUUGGUAUGUAUAUACUAUAUCCACACAGAAAGCAGGCUUGGUAUGGAAUUUUCCGAAGCUGUAGCCUUCUCUAUUGGCCUGUCCCUGAAGAUUUUUUGUUUCUUCAAAACGGAAAACUAAGAAAUGGUUGGCUCACUGCGGAUGUUUGUGCACCUGCCAAUACUUUCCCCUUGAUACUUUCUCCCUCUGAGAGCUGCUGUUUGGGUGCCUCCCUCACCUCAUGGCUGCCUGUCAGAGCAGCUUUGCCCCCAUUCCCUCUGUCACCGAGUGUGGCAUGAUGACCCAGACACACGUCAGUCAGAUUGAACAUUUGAAACAACCAUUUUCUCUUCCUUAUUCAACCUAUUUCCCUCAUCCUCAAGCAAAAUGAAAGAUGUAAUCUGAAACUGUUUCCUUUAUGAAAAGGUAAUUAAGAUUCUGCCUGCAGAUAUGUGCUAGAAGAGCUUCUAAUGUGAAGAUGAAAACACUAGGUUUCUCUUUAGAAUGCUGCAUUAAUAUUGUACUUCUGAAGUCUCAAACAACGAAUAAAAAAUAUGAACUCCACAAAAGCAUAUUCAUUAUAAAUUAGGCACCACUUGACUAAACCUAAUUGUAAAUUGCUUAGAAAAAAUGUUGCAUCAAUGAAUUUAUUUUGAAAAUGUUUUAUGUAAUUGCUAUGAAGGAUGGCCUCAAUGUUCUGUUUUUGAGACAGACAAAUGUGCUCACUCCACCCGCCCUUCCUGUUAUAAUUUAUAUAUAUAUAUACACUUUUAAAUCAGAACUUUUUUUCCCUUUCCGUUUUAUAGUCGUCUUUCCCUGCAUUGAAUUGAUCAUUUUGGGGAAAGGGUGUUUUUGUUACUUUCUAAGGGGAUGCAGAUCCUGUUGUAAAAUACUCUGGGACUUUCUCUCUGCAACUACAUAUUGCUGCUGCAUAGAGUAGCAACCGUUUCCUAAUUUUCCUUUUUUUUUAUUGCGAAGAAAGUGUUGGAGGGUUUCUUUUUUUUAUAUAUACUUUGAGUCUUGUAAGGCAAGUACCAUUUGGAUUUCAGUCAGCCUGUAGUCACAACAGAUGUACACCAGGGGCAGUUUGUCCUAUUCCCCCUGACCCAGCAUUAGCUAUUUUCAGCUGGACGUUCUAUAAAAGUGUAAUUUAUUCCCUUUUAGCAUGUCAGAAUAAAUUCAAAUGACUUGUCAGCACCACUGUCCCAGUCUGUAAUUUGAAGAACACACUGACUUCUUAUGCCUUAUGCCUGGAUGAUGAUGAUGGCUGUUGAAAAAAAAGCAUUUUUUUUGCUUUCCAUUUGCUUGUCUUUACACAUUUACCUGUUGACGACCACACAACCUUAGUAUUGUAAGCAUUUGGAAACUGGAGACAUCGGCAGGAUUGGGGAUAGAUAAGGAAAUACUUUCUUCAAAGAUAUCAGACUCCGAUUGCUCUAGACAAAGGGACACAUUUGUGGAAAUGGUCUAAAAAGGUAUUGCUGUAAUCUAGAAAAAGCAGUUCCUGGUAAAAUGAUGUUGAAGGGUAGUUGUAGGUGCUUGUGGUGGUGUUUUGAAAAAAAAAUCUUCCAGGAUUUAUAUCUGUAAAUAUUAAAAUGGCUUCAAAUGGC